rnacentral:rRNA from 1 species
GACGAACGCUGGCGGCAUGCCUAAUACAUGCAAGUCGAACGCUGAAGCACUCUGCUUGCAGAGUGCGGAUGAGUGGCGAACGGGUGAGUAACACGUGGGAAAUCUGCCUAGGAGUGGGGGAUAACAUUCGGAAACGGAUGCUAAUACCGCAUAUCUUUUUGAACCGCAUGGUUCUUAAACGAAAGACGGCUUCGGCUGUCGCUCUUAGAUGAUCCCGCGGCGUAUUAGUUAGUUGGUGGGGUAAAGGCCUACCAAGACCAUGAUACGUAGCCGACCUGAGAGGGUGAACGGCCACAUUGGGACUGAGACACGGGCCCAAACUCCUACGGGAGGCAGCAGUGGGGAAUCUUCCGCAAUGGGCGCAAGCCUGACGGAGCAACGCCGCGUGAGUGAAGAAGGUUUUCGGAUCGUAAAGCUCUGUUGAGAGGGACGAGAGGCAAGGCUAGGAAAUGAGCUUUGUAGGACGGUACCUUUCGAGGAAGCCACGGCUAACUACGUGCCAGC